AAAAGGGUUUCUCAGGCCUUAUUGUCCCAGUUCCCCCUGUAACCUGUGUUUAGUUCUUCCCCUGCCCCUGCAGGACUGCAGUUUAAGGAAUCCACCAGCUCCUUGGUCUCCUCACUAUGGCGGCUAGUCACCUGCUACCCCCACUCACUCUUACCAGGAAAAUGGUUGGGUACUACACGGAUGAGAACCAGAGAGCCUGGAUGGUUGCAGGCCUGGCAUUUACUCUCUAUGAACCAAUUGAUAACAUGCCUCUAAUGUCUAUCACUGUCACGUUGUGGAAUGUGGGCAGAUGCUGCAAUGAACCUUUUCCCUGCGUCUUCCCAAGUGUGAUCUGUCUCCCCGAUAUGUGGCAGACACAGUCUCUGUUUUCAUACACAGGGACAGACUCAAGAUCCUGGAUAAUAGUGGACCAUUACCAGAUUGGUGACAGAGAAUACCUUAUCCUGAAGCUGGAGCUUCAGGGAUGAUGAUCUCAAGUGUAGCAGUAUCUCCUGGUGAGCUCAGCCCUGAACUUCAGAUGCUCUGUUUCUGUGAGCAUGGCUGUCUGUGUCCUGAGCCUUCUGUCUUCCUGACUACAGCUUCCCCUUUAUUUUCUCCUUUUGCCUGUGAUGGUGACCUCAUAGAUUAUCCUUAUAAGACACGUAUUCACUGUGAACCCCUCUCCUGGGCUCCCAGUGCAGCCUGCCCCUCAGGUUCUCUGAUCUGGAGGUGCCUGUGGAGCGGGUAUGGAUGGGGAAUGCAUGUCCUGUGGAUCUCUGAGAUACCAUGCUGGCUAGAAGUUGCCCUGGAGCUGGGCAGAGGACUCUGUGCUCAGUGGCUUGAAGACACAAUGGGAUGUGUGCAGGAGCAUCUGGUGUACUUCUCCCACAAGCUCAGUACUUGGCUCCUAGAAGUGAUUCGGACACUAGCCCC
rnacentral:lncRNA from 1 species